CUGCGAAUGGCUCAUUAAAUCAGUUAUCGUUUAUUUGAUAGUACCUUACCACUUGGAUAACCGUGGUAAUUCUAGAGCUAAUACAUGCUAAAAACCCCGACUUCGGAAGGGGUGUGUUUAUUAGAUAAAAAACCAAUGCCCUUUGGGGCUCUUUGGUGAUUCAUGAUAACCUAACGGAUCGCAUGGCCUUGCGCCGGCGACGGUUCAUUCAAAUUUCUGCCCUAUCAACUUUCGAUGGUAAGGUAUUGGCUUACCAUGGUUUCAACGGGUAACGGGGAAUUAGGGUUCGAUUCCGGAGAGGGAGCCUGAGAAACGGCUACCACAUCCAAGGAAGGCAGCAGGCGCGCAAAUUACCCAAUCCCGACACGGGGAGGUAGUGACAAUAAAUACUGAUACAGGGCUCUUUUGGGUCUUGUAAUUGGAAUGAGUACAAUUUAAACCCCUUAACGAGGAACAAUUGGAGGGCAAGUCUGGUGCCAGCAGCCGCGGUAAUUCCAGCUCCAAUAGCGUAUAUUAAAGUUGUUGCAGUUAAAAAGCUCGUAGUUGAAACUUGGGUCUGGCUAGCGGGUCCGCCUCACCGCGUGCACUUGUCCGGCUGGACCUUUCCUUCUGGAGAACCUCAUGCCCUUCACUGGGUGUGUUGGGGAACCAGGACUUUUACUUUGAAAAAAUUAGAGUGUUCAAAGCAGGCCUUUGCUCGAAUACGUUAGCAUGGAAUAAUAGAAUAGGACGUGCGGUCCUAUUUUGUUGGUUUCUAGGAUCGCCGUAAUGAUUAAUAGGGAUAGUCGGGGGCAUCAGUAUUCAAUUGUCAGAGGUGAAAUUCUUGGAUUUAUUGAAGACUAACUACUGCGAAAGCAUUUGCCAAGGAUGUUUUCAUUAAUCAGUGAACGAAAGUUAGGGGAUCGAAGACGAUCAGAUACCGUCGUAGUCUUAACCGUAAACUAUGCCGACUAGGGAUCGGGCGAUGUUUCUAUCUUGACUCGCUCGGCACCUUACGAGAAAUCAAA
rnacentral:rRNA from 1 species